UAGAGUUUGAUCAUGGCUCAGAUUGAACGCUGGCGGCAGGCCUAACACAUGCAAGUCGGACGGCAGCGGGAGGAAGCUUGCUUCCUUGCCGGCGAGUGGCGGACGGGUGAGUAAUAUCUGGGGAUCUGCCUGAUGGAGGGGGAUAACCACUGGAAACGGUGGCUAAUACCGCAUGAAGUCGCGAGACCAAAGCGGGGGACCUUCGGGCCCCGCGCCAUCAGAUGAACCCAGACGGGAUUAGCUGGAAGGUGGGGUAACGGCUCACCUUGGCGACGAUCCCUAGCUGGUCUGAGAGGAUGAUCAGCCACACUGGGACUGAGACACGGCCCAGACUCCUGCGGGAGGCAGCAGUGGGGAAUAUUGCACAAUGGGGGAAACCCUGAUGCAGCCAUGCCGCGUGCAUGAAGAAGGCCUUCGGGUUGUAAAGUACUUUCGGCAGGGAGGAAGGGGUGAGGAGUAACAUGCCUUGCCAUUGACGUUACCUGCAGAAGAAGCACCGGCUAACUCCGUGCCAGCAGCCGCGGUAAUACGGAGGGUGCGAGCGUUAAUCGGAAUUACUGGGCGUAAAGGGCACGCAGGCGGUUAAUUAAGCCGGAUGUGAAAUCCCCGGGCUCAACCCGGGAACUGCAUUCGGAACUGGUUGACUGGAGUUCUGUAGAGGGGGGUGGAAUUUCACGUGUAGCGGUGAAAUGCGUAGAGAUGUGGAGGAACACCAGUGGCGAAGGCGGCCCCCUGGACAGAGACUGACGCUCAAGUGCGAAAGCGUGGGGAGCAAACAGGAUUAGAUACCCUGGUAGUCCACGCUGUAAACGAUGUCGAUUUAAAGGCUGUGGUCAUGAACUGUGGCUUUUGGAGCAAACGCGUUAAAUCGACCGCCUGGGGAGUACGGCCGCAAGGUUAAAACUCAAUGAAUUGACGGGGGCCCGCACAAGCGGUGGAGCAUGUGGGUUUAAUUCGAUGCAACGCGAAGAACCUUACCUGGGUCUUGACAUCCACAGAGACUGCAGAGAUGCGGUUGUGCCUUCGGGACUGUGAGACAGGUGCUGCAUGCUGUCGUCAGCUCGUGUGUGAAUGGUGGUAGUCCCGCACGAGCGCACCUGGUCUUGGUGGCAGCGCGUGAGGCGACUCAGCAGACUGCGGUGAUUACGGAAGUAGGGUGGGGACGACGUUCCAGGUCA
rnacentral:rRNA from 1 species